AGGUGCGAAAGCGUGGGGAGCAAACAGGAUUAGAUACCCUGGUAGUCCACGCCGUAAACGAUGUCGACUUGGAGGUUGUGCCCUUGAGGCGUGGCUUCCGGAGCUAACGCGUUAAGUCGACCGCCUGGGGAGUACGGCCGCAAGGUUAAAACUCAAAUGAAUUGACGGGGGCCCGCACAAGCGGUGGAGCAUGUGGUUUAAUUCGAUGCAACGCGAAGAACCUUACCUACUCUUGACAUCCAGAGAACUUUCCAGAGAUGGAUUGGUGCCUUCGGGAACUCUGAGACAGGUGCUGCAUGGCUGUCGUCAGCUCGUGUUGUGAAAUGUUGGGUUAAGUCCCGCAACGAGCGCAACCCUUAUCCUUUGUUGCCAGC
rnacentral:rRNA from 1 species